rnacentral:rRNA from 1 species
UCGCUCCUACCGAUUGAGUGCUCAGGUGAAUAAUUCAGACCCCAGUAAUAUUCAGUUCCUGGACGUUACAGGGGAAAGUCUAGUAAACCUUAUCACUUAGAGGAAGGAG